UUGUCCCCUCUCAGGUUUUAUUAGCGUCUUGCCCCUUUAACUGGUAAUUAACAUCUUGAUUUGGGGGUCUUCCCCUACCCAGCCUCCUUUAUACACAGUU
rnacentral:lncRNA from 1 species